rnacentral:rRNA from 1 species
AGCAGCCGCGGUAAUUCCAGCUCCAAUAGCGUAUAUUAAAGUUGCUGCAGUUAAAAAGCUCGUAGUUGAAUUUCGGGACCAAUAUGUCGGUCGUGCCUCGGUACGUACUGGCAUCGUUGGUUUCUCCCUUCUGACGAACCAUGAUGUCAUUUAUUUGGUGUCGUGGGGAAUCAGGACUGUUACUUUGAAAAAAUUAGAGUGUUUAAAGCAGGCUCACGCUUGAAUACAUUAGCAUGGAAUAAUGAAAUAGGACGUUUGAUUUUAUUUUGUUGGUUUCUAGGAUCGACGUAAUGAUUAAUAGGGAUAGUUGGGGGCAUUAGUAUUCAAUUGUCAGAGGUGAAAUUCUUGGAUUUAUUGAAGACUAACUACUGCGAAAGCAUUUGCCAAGGAUGUUUUCAUUAAUCAAGAACGAAAGUUAGGGGAUCGAAGACGAUCAGAUACCGUCGUAGUCUUAACCAUAAACUAUGCCGACUAGGGAUCGGAUGAUGUUAAUUUUUUAAUGACUCAUUCGGCGCCUUACG